UACGGAGGGGGCUAGCGUUGUUCGGAAUUACUGGGCGUAAAGCGCACGUAGGCGGCUUUGCAAGUUAGAGGUGAAAGCCCGGGGCUCAACUCCGGAAUUGCCUUUAAAACUGCAUCGCUAGAAUUGUGGAGAGGUAAGUGGAAUUCCGAGUGUAGAGGUGAAAUUCGUAGAUAUUCGCAAGAACACCAGUGGCGAAGGCGGCGCACUGGUCCGGUACUGACGCUGAGGUGCGAAAGCGUGGGGAGCAAACAGG
rnacentral:rRNA from 1 species